rnacentral:misc_RNA from 1 species
ACAACCAAUCAUUCACCACCACACGCUAUGUACUCAUGGAAGAACCAGGCCGCCACACCUACACAGGACCAAAUCUCAUCGACCAUAAAAAAUAAACAAGAAAAAGCUUCAUAUGGAGGAAAGCACGAGUAGUAUCAUAUCCACUUCCUGAUUAAAAAGCUUUCCAGUCAUCAGAACUUUUUUUUGGAGUUUCCCUCUCUACUGAUGUCUUAAAUAGCCCAGUAGAGCCAAAUGGAUCAG